rnacentral:rRNA from 1 species
AGCAGUAUCCGCGGUAAUACAGAGGGUGCGAGCGUUAAUCGGAUUUACUGGGCGUAAAGCGUGCGUAGGCGGCUUCUUAAGUCGGAUGUGAAAUCCCUGAGCUUAACUUAGGAAUUGCAUUCGAUACUGGGAAGCUAGAGUAUGGGAGAGGAUGGUAGAAUUCCAGGUGUAGCGGUGAAAUGCGUAGAGAUCUGGAGGAAUACCGAUGGCGAAGGCAGCCAUCUGGCCUAAUACUGACGCUGAGGUACGAAAGCAUGGGGAGCAAACAGGAUUAGAUACCCCCGUAGUCCCUGUCUCUUAUAC